AAUAUUGGACAAUGGGGGGAACCCUGAUCCAGCCAUGCCGCGUGUGUGAAGAAGGUCUUCGGAUUGUAAAGCACUUUAAGUCGGGAGGAAGAGUUGUAGGCUAAUACCUUGCAAUUUUUACGUUACCAACAGAAUAAGCACCGGCUAACUUCGUUCCAGCAUCCGCGGUAAUACGAAGGGUGCAAGCGUUAAUCGGAAUUACUGGGCGUAAAGCGAGCGUAGGUGGUUCGUUAAGUUGGAAGUGAAAGCCCCGGGCUUAACCUGGGAAUUGCAUCCAAAACUGUCUGACUAGAGUAUGGCAGAGGGUGGUGGAAUUCCCUGUGUAGCGGUGAAAUGCGUAGAUAUAGGAAGGAACAUCAGUGGCGAAGGCGACUACCUGGACUGAUACUGACACUGAGGUGCGAAAGCGUGGGGAGCAAACAGG
rnacentral:rRNA from 1 species